rnacentral:rRNA from 1 species
UACGGAGGGUGCAAGCAUUAAUCGGAUUUAUUGGGCGUAAAGGGGGCGUAGGCUGGAGAGCAAGUCAGACGUGAAAUCCCGGGGCUUAACCCCGGAACUGCGUUUGAAACUACUUUUCUUGAGGAUAGACGGAGAAAACGGAAUUCCACAUGUAGCGGUGAAAUGCGUAGAUAUGUGGAAGAACACCCGUGGCGAAAGCGGUUUUCUAGUUUAUUCCUGACGCUAAGGCCCGAAAGCUAGGGGAGCAAACAGG